rnacentral:rRNA from 1 species
AACACAUGCAAGUCGAGCGGUAGCACAGAGAGCUUGCUCUCGGGUGACGAGCGGCGGACGGGUGAGUAAUGUCUGGGAAACUGCUUGAUGGAGGGGGAUAACUACUGGAAACGGUAGCUAAUACCGCAUAACGUCGCAAGACCAAAGUGGGGGACCUUCGGGCCUCAUGCCAUCAGAUGUGCCCAGAUGGGAUUAGCUAGUAGGUGGGGUAAUGGCUCACCUAGGCGACGAUCCCUAGCUGGUCUGAGAGGAUGACCAGCCACACUGGAACUGAGACACGGUCCAGACUCCUACGGGAGGCAGCAGUGGGGAAUAUUGCACAAUGGGCGCAAGCCUGAUGCAGCCAUGCCGCGUGUAUGAAGAAGGCCUUCGGGUUGUAAAGUACUUUCAGCGAGGAGGAAGGCGUUAAGGUUAAUAACCUUGGCGAUUGACGUUACUCGCAGAAGAAGCACCGGCUAACUCCGUGCCAGCAGCCGCGGUAAUACGGAGGGUGCAAGCGUUAAUCGGAAUUACUGGGCGUAAAGCGCACGCAGGCGGUCUGUUAAGUCAGAUGUGAAAUCCCCGGGCUCAACCUGGGAACUGCAUUUGAAACUGGCAGGCUUGAGUCUUGUAGAGGGGGGUAGAAUUCCAGGUGUAGCGGUGAAAUGCGUAGAGAUCUGGAGGAAUACCGGUGGCGAAGGCGG